rnacentral:rRNA from 1 species
AAAUGACUCUCGGCAACGGAUAUCUCGGCUCUCGCAUCGAUGAAGAACGUAGCGAAAUGCGAUACUUGGUGUGAAUUGCAGAAUCCCGUGAACCAUCGAGUCUUUGAACGCAAGUUGCGCCCAAAGCCAUUAGGCUGAGGGCACGUCCGCCUGGGUGUCACGC